AGCGAGUAUCGUUUUAUCACCCGCCCCUUCCCUCAGUUUAAAUCAUAACUGCAAAACGUACGUAAUCAUUUAAAAAUAGCCAAUCGUCACUCAAAGUUUUAUGAUUGAAUUCCGUUUAACGUUACGCAAGAUCAUGAUUCAUGAAAAACGAGCACCGCUUCCUUUUGCCUGGCCUGUUCUAAUGUUAAGUGUCAACGAGGGAACUUCCAGAGACGCAUUAUGAAACUUAACAGAAUGAUAAUCAAAGGUCUGUUGGCAUGUACAAGCGAGUGCAGAAUCCUUGGGCAUUCGGAUCGAUGCUGGAGUCCAUCUGUAAGCAGAAUUGGUGGAAUCAUUAAUCCCAGACAUCUCUCGACCUUCUCAAGGACACGACCGUCCUCACAGGGCACAAUGAACAGAAACAGCUGAGACUCAGACAUUCAGGAGCGCAGCCUUGCAGAGUCUUACAGAGGAUCAACAGACUCAAUAUGGUUACAUUUAUGUUUGUUCACCACAGUCACAGAGGAGACAAGAAGACAUUCUCAGUAUUCACACAUUCUAUAGACAACUGAUAAUUCAAUAUCAUGAUGUUUAGGUUGAUGUAUAUUUUGAGCUUCAACUGUAUUGUUUUGAUGUUUUGUAUAUACUUUUUGUGUACAUAAUACAUUAUUUUAACUCUUCAUAAGUGUUUACCAGCAAUUCCCCUCAAAACUGUUACGUUUGUAAUGCCAACUAACUCCAAUGGUAUUUGUAUGAUGACAAUGAUUGUCUAAAAAGUUUUUCAUGUAAGUUGUAAGAAGAGUGAAUGCUCAAAUUUCUAAUAAUCAUCAUUGUCAUGAUACUAAACCAUGGGAUUGUGUUGGCGUUAUGAAUGUGACAGUUUUGCAUGUUAUUGCCUUUAGUGUUAAUAAAGGACACUUCUCUUUAGGACAAUUACAGAUUACGGUACAUCGCUAAUGUUUUUCUGUAAGAUAUAUAAUAAAACUAUUGUUUGGUUUUGCUAUGUGUAGUCAAGUUGAAGGGGUGGGGGUAUGUUCAUGAGCUCACAGAAUAUAGUGUUGUAAGUGCUAGGCUGUAAAUUGAGCUAAAAAAAAUAUUGAUUUUGGAGUUUUUUUUUUAAUAACAACAGUACGUGGUGA